UUCGACUCUGUGUCGUGUUUGCGGUGUUGUUUUGGUGUCUCGCGCACGCAGGUUUCGGUUUCGCGAUCGUGAAAACCCUUUUCAAAAAGUGGAAAUUGUGUGAAAAAUGGAAAACGGAUGGGAUGUGACGGUGGCCAAGAUCGUACGGAAGUACAAUCUAACGGAGGUGAUUAAGCUGUAUGCCGGAGAGGUCGAUACCGUACGAAAAUUGGAUGCCAUUCCGGACAUUCGAAAACUGUGCCGCUCGUGGCUCAAAAAGCUGCCUCCCGUUCGCGGCAACGACGAGGAAAAGUCCCACCUCUAUCGGGAAAAUGGAAACGAAAUUUUCCGCAGUCGCAAGAGCCCACACGUUGCGCUGGAAGCGUACAGUAAGGCCAUUUUUGCGGCGCCACGUGGAUCGCCAGCGUUGGCCAUGGCCCACGCCAACCGAGCCAUUGUGCUGAUGAGUUUGAAGCGGCACCGGGAGGCAUACCAGGACUGUCAGCUGGCGCUGGACGGUGCCUAUCCGGUGGAGAACCGGUUGAGGGUGAUGUUCCGGCAGGCGGAAUGCGCCCUGCAGAUGCGCGAUCGGGACGGGUUGGAGCGAGCUUUGGAGGGUAUUGAGAAGGUCGCUGAGAGGCAGACGCUGGCCAGUUUUGAGGAGGAGAGAUAUAAGAGAUUACAGCAGUUAGCUGAGAUGAUUGCCAUAUCGGAAAUACCACCGGACUCUGACGACUCAGUCUUGAAUCUUCCGGAGCUUGAAGAGAAAUCAGAUUCCAUUCAUGGAAGAUUUAUAGUAACGAAAGAGGAAAUCAAAACAGAUGCACCAAUAGUACAGGAAAAGGCAGUAUCGUUCGUGCCAGUUUACGAUCCCAGAGGUAGUUCGGAGAUUCCUCCCUUCGAUUGUCAGUACUGUGGGGAUGUUAACAUCAUUCCAUUUCCCUGUGCAUCGUGUGGCCGAGCUUGCUACUGUAGUGUUGCUUGUUGUAAAGAACAUAGCGAUCUUCAUCGUUACGAGUGCCCAGGAUAUGAGAAACAUCUGUGGUAUAUGAUUGGAAUAGCACAUCUAGGGAUGCGGAGUUUUUUAGAUGGGUUUGGUUCCAGUACGGAGAAGCUGGACGUCUUGCAGGAAUGUACAGCUGAAAAGAUGUUUCAAUAUGUCUCUGACAAGUCCGAGUCGGAACACAAAGAAUACCCGUACGGAAAAGUCUUUCGAUUAGUAACUAACCUUGACAAAAUGUCGCUAAGUGAUAUGAUUCAGUAUUCAUUGACUGCCUACAUGCUAUCAAUCUACUUAAGUGAGUUUACGCAAUUCUUUAACAAUCUAGGAGAUAAAACUUCGGUUAUGCCAAAGGAAGAAUGGUUUUUGUACAGCUCUGCAGUGAUUCUGCGUCACAUCGGUCAACUGGUUUGCAACGGACACGCAAUAAACGAGCUGCGCGUUUGCACUGCGUCGGAAAACAACUGUCUGGAAGUGGAUAGCUUCAAUAUAAAGGCCGGCUUCCUGCAUCGAUGCUUUGAAAGUACUCGAGUUUUCACGGGGAUUUUUCCUCAAAUAAGUAUGUUUAACCAUUCAUGUGAUCCGAACAUUCGCAAUUGCUUUAGUAAGAGUACGCUGACGGUUUACGCGACACGAGAUGUGGAAGCAGGAGGAGAGAUCUUCAACUGUUAUGGCCCGAAUUUCAGGCUAAUGUCGAGAGAAGAUCGGAAGUCUGCGUUGAAACAGCAGUACUGCUUCGAUUGCAGCUGUACUAGAUGUUCCGCAGCAACGGAUGAGGCUUAUGAGAUGUACGAACGCUACAAAUGUCCAUUUGCGAAGUGUUCUAAACAGUUCAUUGUGGCGCAAAACGUAGAUCCAUUCGAGAAAGAUAUAAAAUGCCCUAUGUGUAGACGAAUCAUCGAUUGUUCGUGUUUUCAAAUAAUCGCUACUGGAAUGUCUAGUGAACGCGAAGCUUCUUACGAAGACUUUGAGGAAGCACUCAAAGCGUACAACAACUGCAAACGGAUCUUGUCGCAAUAUCACGAAACGAAGAUCACGUUGGCUCACAUGCUAUUCAUCCAGUACCUUCCCUUCGCCGGGUUAGACGAACGAUGCCUAAGUGCACUGAAGAAAUUGGCCCACGAGUUCGUGCAGAUCCGAGAGCAACGAUUCGGUAUGAUGAGCCCGGAGUAUGUUGUGGCGUGUUUCUAUUUGUUGGAUUUGCUGGUUAUCGAAUCCAAAUGUGAAGGUGCUUUUAGCGUGGAUUCCGAUUCCGCCACGAUUGUCGAGCAGUUUAAAAAGGCUAUCGAAAUAUUCGGUCAUGGGACAAGAACGCGAGUAAUGCAGUACAUCAAGGCACAUUUGGGCUAGUGUGGCAAUGCUCGAAGUUAAUGGAAGCUCAACCGCUUCAGCUUAGUGUGGUGCAGUCAGUACCCAUGGUGGUGCAGAGGAUCGAAUUGAAAUAAAGUUCGGCACUUCAAGAAGCAACGAGAUAAAAUAGUCAUGGUUUGUUUGGAUGGAAUGGCUAUCAAACCUGAUCUAACAUAUUGUGCCAAAUCAGACACAUUCCAUGGGUUUCCGCACGAUGGGACUGGAAGGAAGAUAGAGAAAAACGAUCCACGAAAACUAGCAACGGAGGCAGUGGUAGUAAUGACCUCUGGAAUAUAUCGGCAUUUCAAACAGGUAAAUGUUUAACUUUCAAUAUGAAUUAAAAUAAAUGGAAGCCUAAAAUUAUAAUCAAUUGUUUAUGUAGCCUCUAGGGUACCUACUUGCGCAUAACAGUCUCGGUAGCGAUGUGCAGAUGGAAUUUGUAAAUAUAAGUGUUGUGGCAAUUAGGAAAUGCAAGCUUAUUCCGAUCGCUCUGGUGAUGGAUCAGUGCACGACAAAUCAAAAAAUGAUACGUGAAGCCGGUGCAACUUGUGCAGACCCGAUUAUUUCCAUCGAUGGUAAGGAGAUCGCAGUUCUCUAUGACACUCCCCAUAUGCUCAAAAACACGAGGAAUGCUAUACACAAACACAAUGCUGUGUUCGAAGGUCAAAUAGCAUCAUUUAAACAUGUAAAGCAGCUGUAUGAUGAAGAUGUGUCUUCAAUUUUGCGGCUGGCUCCAAAAUUAAGUCUAAAAUGUAUAGUGUUACCUCCGUUCACCAAAAUGAAUGUACCUUUGGCUACGCGUACACUAACCGAGUCAACCUCCAUUGCCAUGCAACAUUAUGUGCACACUGGCCAGCUAGAUAAGGGAGCACUAGCCACUGCAUCCUUCAUCGCAUUCCAUGAUAAGCUAUUUGAUAUUUUCAAUUCGAAGGAGCGUUACGCGGAUUCUAUUGGAAAAGUGAGUAUUCUUGUUCAAUUUUUCGAAAUUAGUUAUGAAUUCAAAACUUGGUAUUCCUUAGCCGUAUAGAACACCUAUUACUGAGACCUCAUGUCAUAUGGAGUUUCUACAAAACGCGCAGAAGAUACUUAAGGGAAUGUAUUACACCAUGAAUGACUGCUUCGACAUCAGAAAAGUAUGUUGCGUAAAUUUAUUAAUUGUCAAAAAUAAAUUAAUACAAACCUAAAUUUUAUGUUUAGGCGAAAAGGAGGCUAAAAAAUUAACGGCUGUCCAGAGGAUUCCAUCGUAUUUGAAAGGAUACAUUGGAAACAUUGACGCGCUGGUGUGGAUAUGGACAAGAUUGAGAACUGAGUUUGAUUGUACAUACUUGUGCACGAACCCAUUCUGUCAAGACUGUUUGGAAUUUUUUUUCCGAAGUUCGAAGGCGUUGUGGGUUUAAUGAUGCACCAAACGCAUUACAGUUCAGCAGUGCAUUUAAAUAUGCAAUGCUAACUGUCGCUAACGAAUGUAAGAACUGUCAGAACGAUGCUCAGCAACCUCUACUCAAUGAACAGGAUCUGGAAAAUAUGACUGAGAACGCUGAAGAAACUGUAUCAUACGAGAAAGAACAACUUGAUCUUAAUACACCAUUCGCUAUCCGGAAGAAAGACCUCAAUGCAUUGCUGUACAUCCUUGGAAUUGCGAUAUCCAAACUAUCACACGAAAAAUGCCGCUUAAAAUUGAAGGCUUCGCGUGAUGCAGCAUGUUUGGACGGCGAAGAUUAUGCAUUUUCUAAGUUAAAGGCACAGGCAACGUCACGCACUAUCGAUAUUCCUAAUAAUACGCUAUAUGCUAUCGGCCUGCUAGCAUUCACUGCAUUUAAAAAAAAAUUUGAAAAACUCCUCUUCCAAAGUAGGAAAGAUGUCAAGUCGCGCUUGAAAGAAUUUGUUACAUAUGAUCAUUUUAACGCAGUUGUUUGUAAGUUCUGCUUUGGAUGACUAAUUGACUUCAUUUUUAAUACACUUAUUCAAGCAUUUCUGCGAGAAACUCGAUACAAGAGCAAAAUAGCCGAAAAUAAUAAACGUAAAAUAAAGCGUAAUCGAAAGGCAGUUAGAAUGAAUUUACCUCAACUAGCUUGAAGUGGUCAGCAACAUAUUAUUUCAC